rnacentral:rRNA from 1 species
UACGUAGGGUGCGAGCGUUAAUCGGAAUUACUGGGCGUAAAGCGUGCGCAGGCGGUUUUGUAAGCCAGAUGUGAAAUCCCCGGGCUUAACCUGGGAAUGGCGUUUGGGACUGCGAGGCUAGAGUGCGGCAGAGGGGGGUGGAAUUCCACGUGUAGCAGUGAAAUGCGUAGAUAUGUGGAGGAACACCGAUGGCGAAGGCAGCCCCCUGGGCCAGCACUGACGCUCAGGCACGAAAGCGUGGGGAGCAAACAGG